rnacentral:RNase_P_RNA from 1 species
GGCCUGCGCUAGACGGCCGCUCGCUUUACGGCGAGAGGAAAGUCCGAACACAUCCGCCUAUGGCGGAGCACGGUAGCGGGUAACGCCCGUCCGGGGAAACCCGAGAGGUGCGAACAGAAACGGCUCCGAUCGAAAGAAAGGAGAUAUCCUUCGGGAUAGUCCUCAUGGAGACAUGAGGGUGCAACGGCUAAAUUCCUUACCUAUGUGCAAGGCCGUGCCUGCCGCAAGGCAGGAGUGCCGCUCGAGGUCCGGGGCGACUCGGAUCCCAGAUAAAUGGCCGUCCACGACAGAAUUCGGCUUAUCGGCGCAGACAAAUG